rnacentral:misc_RNA from 1 species
GCGGAUGAUGCUUGGGAAUUUAAAGAAUUGGAAGAGGCAAUCACCAAAGGAUAUUUGUAAGAUUUUUUUGAGGUUCCAUGGGACAGAGUUAUCCAGUACAUGUCUGUGCUGGUAAGAAGCUGCAGGUAUCAGCGGAAUAGUCUGGGUGCCAACAAGCUGGCUUGCAGACCACCAUUGAAGAAGAAACAGUUGUUGGAAAUUCCACAUUUUUGGUGGCAAUUGGAGAUCUAUACAUACUUAUCUUCUGUCUAGCUACUUCAACAAAGGGACAGUAGUUUUUUCACCUUCUCCUCCACAUUACCUCUUUCCUUGUGGGCGAAAAGUGUUGUGAUGGAACCUUUAUAACAUAUAGAUUAGGAAG